UACGUAGGGGGCAAGCGUUGUCCGGAUUUACUGGGCGUAAAGAGCGUGUAGGCGGCCAAGCAGGUCCGUUGUGAAAACUGGAGGCUUAACCUCCAGACGUCGACGCAAACCGCGUGGCUAGAGUCCGGAAGAGGAGAGUGGAAUUCCUGGUGUAGCGGUGAAAUGCGCAGAUAUCAGGAUGAACACCAAUUGCGAAGGCAGCUCGCUGGGACGUUACUGACGCUGAGACGCGAAAGCGUGGGGAGCAAACAGG
rnacentral:rRNA from 1 species